rnacentral:rRNA from 1 species
UACGAACUGUGCGAACGUUAUUCGGAAUCACUGGGCUUAAAGGGUGCGUAGGCGGCCGUUCAAGUAGGGUGUGAAAUGCCUCGGCUCAACCGAGGCACUGCGCUCUAAACUGUCCGGCUGGAGUGAGAUAGGGGCGUGCGGAACUUCCGGUGGAGCGGUGAAAUGUGUUGAUAUCGGAAGGAACACCGGUGGCGAAAGCGGCACGCUGGGUCUCGACUGACGCUGAGGCACGAAAGCCAGGGUAGCGAAC